GGAAGGCCCAUGUGGUAUGUAAAUGAACUCAGAGUUACAGACACACAAAUAGCUGUGGAUCUCCUGGGAGAUCUGGUGCCUGUUGCCUCUGAGCACUAAUUUGAGUUAUUCUCUGGCACUACUUGUUCUACUGGAAUGACAGUUGAUCCCAUUAAAUACCCCAAAGCUGAAAGGCUUCUCAAAUCAUUUACAGCCAUGAAAACUUCCACUUCUUCUGAGUUCUGUGUUCCGGGCUAAAAUCAAUACUAGAUCUUCUGCUAAAACCUCAUCUUAAUCAUUUGAACAACUAAAUUCUGAAGUUCCUGUGCUAGUAAUUUCUUAGUGUCUACAGAACUUCCCAGGAUGCUACUCUUUUUAAGAUCUUGAAGAUUCUUCUUUCUGUGGUACUAGGUUUAUAUUUCCUGGUGGGUUAUUGAUUAUUUUUUCCUUGUUGUGCAAGAAUUAGAACAAGAGAGUCCUAACGCUACUUUUUCAAAACUCAAGGUAAAGAGAAGUUGUUCAAUGCAUUGAAGAAAGUCUUUUCCGAAGGCAGAACCAGUGAUAAGAACUUAAAUGAAAAGAUUUCCAUUAUUUUGCAAUAGACAGAAGGCACUUGUUGAAAACGAAAUAGAGAGAUGAAUGCAAUCCAGACAAGAUAAUUAAAAUGAUCACUGCAAACAGAGGGAAUGUCCAAGCCUCAAGAGGGCUCCCAGCUCCCUUCCAAUGUCCUUGGAUGAGACAGAGACAGCAACCUGGCAGAGAGAGAGAAUGA
rnacentral:lncRNA from 1 species